CCUACGGGGGACAGCAGUGAGGAAUAUUGGUCAAUGGACGAGAGUCUGAACCAGCCAAGUAGCGUGAAGGAUGACUGCCCUAUGGGUUGUAAACUUCUUUUAUAUGGGAAUAAAACAGGGUAUGCAUACCCUCUUGUAUGUACCAUAUGAAUAAGGAUCGGCUAACUCCGUGCCAGCAGCCGCGGUAAUACGGAGGAUCCGAGCGUUAUCCGGAUUUAUUGGGUUUAAAGGGAGCGUAGGUGGAUUGUUAAGUCAGUUGUGAAAGUUUGCGGCUCAACCGUAAAAUUGCAGUUGAAACUGGCAGUCGUGAGUACAGUAGAGGUGGGCGGAAUUCGUGGUGUAGCGGUGAAAUGCUUAGAUAUCACGAAGAACUCCGAUUGCGAAGGCAGCUCACUGGACUGCAACUGACACUGAUGCUCGAAAGUGUGGGUAUCAAACAGGAUUAGAUACCCCAGUAGUC
rnacentral:rRNA from 1 species